CCCUUGACAAUUGUGGAUGCACUAAAGGAUGUGAAAGUCAACGGUGCAGCUGCCGUCAAUACCAGCUGCCCUGCACUUUGGCAUGUAAGAAGUGCAAAGGACAAUGCCAAAACCAGAGGUUUAACAGUCCUGAGGCAGAAACCGAUCCCAACCAAGAUGUCGACCUUUCGAUUUUAAUUAAAAAAAAAAAAUAUAUUGACGUAUAUGAAAAAUUAUAUUAUAAAAAUGAAUGUAUACUUAAUACUU